AUUGAACGCUGGCGGCAUGCCUUACACAUGCAAGUCGAACGGUAACAGGUCUUCGGAUGCUGACGAGUGGCGAACGGGUGCGUAAUACAUCGGAACGUGCCCGAUCGUGGGGGAUAACGGAGCGAAAGCUUUGCUAAUACCGCAUACGAUCUACGGAUGAAAGCAGGGGACCGCAAGGCCUUGCGCGGACGGAGCGGCCGAUGGCAGAUUAGGUAGUUGGUGUGAUAAAAGCUUACCAAGCCGACGAUCUGUAGCUGGUCUGAGAGGACGACCAGCCACACUGGGACGGAGACACGGCCAAGACUCCUACGGGAGGCAGCAGUGGGGAAUUUUGGACAAGGGGCGAAAGCCUGAUCCAGCCAUGCCGCGUGCAGGAUGAAGGCCUUCGGGUUGUAAACUGCUUUUGUACGGAACGAAAAGACUCUUUCUAAUAAAGAGGGUCCAUGACGGUACCGUAAGAAUAAGCACCGGCUAACUACGUG
rnacentral:rRNA from 1 species